rfam:Simkania negevensis Z main chromosome, complete genome
UCGGAAAAGGACGCAAUCGCUGCCAUUUAUUGGGAGAGGAAAGUCUGGACUUCGCAGAAAAAGGUGCCAGUGAAAAACUGGGGGCCGUAAGGCUACGGAAAGUGUAACAGAAAACAAACCGCUAAUUCUACCUAGGUAAGAUUAGACAGGAUGAAAAUGUCGAGCUUAUGGCUCGACCUCUUUGUGGAAACACAAGGACGCUGCAAACCCCACCUGAAGCAAGAAAGAGUUCGUUUCAGUUUUUCGCUCAGGAACUCUUAGAGUCGCUCGAGGAUUUUGGUGACAAAGUCCCUAGAUGAAUGAUUGCCUCGCACAGAAUCCGGCUUACCCCUUUUCCGACAGC